rnacentral:rRNA from 1 species
GACGAACGCUGGCGGCAUGCUUAACACAUGCAAGUCGAACGAAGUGGCGAACGGGUGAGUAACGCGUAAUCAACCUGCCCUUCAGAGGGGGACAACAGUUGGAAACGACUGCUAAUACCGCAUACGGAAGGCGGGGAUUGCGUGUGAGUAGCUAACUGGAGGGGUAACGGCCCACCAAGGCGAUGAUAAGUAGCCGGUCUGAGAGGAUGAACGGCCACAUUGGGACGUAGACACGGCCCAGACUCCUACGGGAGGCAGCAGUGGGGAAUCUUCCGCAAUGGAGGAAAGUCUGACGGAGCAACGCCGCGUGAGUGAUGACGGCCUUUGGGUUGUAAAGCUCUGUUAAUCGGGACGCGGUACCGGAAUAGAAAGCCACGGCUAACUACGUGCCAGCAGCCGCGGUAAUUC